rnacentral:tRNA from 1 species
AGGCGAUUAGCUCAGUUGGUUAGAGCAUUCCGUUGAUAACGGAAAGGUCGUAAGUUCGAGUCUUACAUCGCCUACCA